rnacentral:rRNA from 1 species
UGGGGAAUCUUCCGCAAUGGACGAAAGUCUGACGGAGCAACGCCGCGUGAGUGAUGACGGCCUUCGGGUUGUAAAGCUCUGUUAAUCGGGACGAAUGGUUCUUGUGCAAAUAGUGCGAGGAUUUGACGGUACCGGAAUAGAAAGCCACGGCUAACUACGUGCCAGCAGCCGCGGUAAUACGUAGGUGGCAAGCGAUGUCCGGAAUUAUUGGGCGUAAAGCGCGCGCAGGCGGAUUGGUCAGUCUGUCUUAAAAGUUCGGGGCUUAACCCCGUGAUGGGAUGGAAACUGCCAAUCUAGAGUAUCGGAGAGGAAAGUGGAAUUCCUAGUGUAGCGGUGAAAUGCGUAGAUAUUAGGAAGAACACCAGUGGCGAAGGCGACUUUCUGGACGAAAACUGACGCUGAGGCGCGAAAGCCAGGGGAGCGAACGGG